rnacentral:rRNA from 1 species
AUUGAACGCUGGCGGAAUGCUUACACAUGCAAGUCGAACGAUGAACCUUAGCUUGCUAAGGGGAUUAGUGGCGAACGGGUGAGUAAUAUAUCAGAACGUACCUUGUAAUGGGGGAUAACUAGUCGAAAGAUUAGCUAAUACCGCAUACGCCCUGAGGGGGAAAGUAGGGGAUCUUCGGACCUUACGUUAUAAGAGCGGCCGAUAUCUGAUUAGCUAGUUGGUGGGGUAAUGGGCUACCAAGGCGACGAUCAGUAGCUGGUCUGAGAGGACGACCAGCCACACUGGAACUGAGACACGGUCCAGACUCCUACGGGAGGCAGCAGUGGGGAAUUUUGGACAAUGGGCGCAAGCCUGAUCCAGCCAUUCCGCGUGAGUGAAGAAGGCCUUCGGGUUGUAAAGCUCUUUCGCAAGGGAAGAAAACUUACAUUCUAAUAAAGUGUGAGGCUGACGGUACCUUGAUAAGAAGCACCGGCUAACUACGUGCCAGCCGCCGCGGUAA